GAAGGGCGUACGGAGGCCUGUCGGACCCCCACCCCCACCCCAUCCCCCACAUCCUAAUCUACCAGGGCCCUCUAACUACAUCGGAGGAGAAACUAGAAAAGGAAUAACGCCUUCAAAAUGACGUCCAUUUUAUUUUAUUAUUUAUGAACUUUUGCAACAGCCGCCCAAGCCUGUUCUUACGGUUCAAUGCGUGAUAACUGACGGGCCUGAAUGGCACCUGGGGGACAGGCAUUCUUUUACUUCGAAACCGGCUUUGUCUGCAGCCAGUGCCCCCAAGAUAGGGUGCGGUGUCUGUCAUACAAGGGCUGCUGGGGUCUGAUUCCUAUGACUCAGCUUUCAGAACGGUGGACUGCAUUUGCCCCGACUCGGCCCUCGUUGUCUCCCUCGCUUGUCUUCUCCCUUGAUUUGAGAGGGCGAUUAAAAAUACUUGAGUGAUUUUUUUUUUAAAGAAAAGUUUCAGCGUUGCCGCCUCUACUUUAUUUGCUAUUAAUUUUCGUGAACACUCAAGUCAAAUAAGUAGUAUUUGCUGGGUGUAAGGUAAUUGGGAGUUUUGUAAGAGACUGCUAACAAGAGCCAAGGAUUUCCGAAGAUCACAUUCCAUGAGCUCUACUUUCUCAAGGUGGAAACAGAAGCGCAAACUAGCUUUGGAGGGGAAGGCUUUCUACGAUGCAUGUGGACGACUUUGGUAGAGACGUGCUGGUUUCAAAAUGGCACCUGAGUCUGCCCUAGAAUCACCGAGGAGACAAACUUCCAGACAUGUCUGUCUAUGAGAGAGUUUCUUGACGGGAUUCACUGAGGAGGGAAGGCCCACCCAAGUCUGAGGGCCAUCAUUUCCUGCGCUGGCAUCCUGGACUGAAGGAAAAGGAAGAACAGAGCUGCACACCACACCACUUUUCACAUCACUCUGCCUCUCACCGAACCUGCAAGGUGGCCUGCUGCUUCAAGCUUCUGCUUCCAUGUCAUGUCUUCCUCCCCAGACUUGACGAGUCAAACCGUAAGCCCAGCUCAUAGGAAACUGCAUUAAGUCUCAGAAGAGAGUUGGGACUUUUGAGCCAAUGCUGGAAUCAUUUAAGACUGGGACUAUUCAUCUGGAUGAACACAUUUUGUGUGAGGAGAAAGGCAUGAAUUUCUAAGACCAAACUGUUUCCAAGGAGCAUAUGCUUCAUAGAGAUCCUCCCUUCUUGACUCAUUGUGUUGGCUACAUUUCUCAUCUCUGUGAGGAAAAACCCCAAAAGAAGUAAUUAAAGAGCUCAUGUCCAGAAGGUUCCGCCACCUCCCAAAAGAGCACCACCAGCUGAGGACCAACUGUUCAACAACAUGUGUCUGCGGGGGACAUUUCCCACUCAAGCUAUAAUUAUAACACUACUGGAAUGGUGUUUACUCAAUUUUUUUUUUUAUCAAAACUAUUAGGGACUAUAAGAAGAGCCUUUUUAUCAGACACAAAGUUAAUGUUGUGACAAUAGAAAUGUUAUAGACUGACUGCUGUGCCACCUUAACUUCACCUGUUGAAAGCUCAGCUCACUGGUAUGGUCACUAGCAAGUGAAGACUUUGGAAAGUAAGUGGGUUGGGAAGCCCUUGGGAAUGAGAUUGAUACUACUAUGUAAAACACCCUUAGAGAGCUCUCUCACUGUAUUUUCUCCCUGUGAAGAAACAGCCAGCAACACAGAGGGGGAUGCUAACCAAAAACCAAUCAUGCUGGAGUCCUUAUCUCACAUUUAAAAUCUGAAAAAUGGAUGGAAAUCAAUUUCAAUUAUCUGUAAGACAGCCGGUCUGUGGUAAUUUGUUAUACCAGCUUAGACUGACCAAGAUAAGUUGAAUAAUAUCUAACUGUUCCAAUCACUCUUUUGUGGGGGUGUCAAUUUGGUAGAGUGUUCUUGUGUUUUAGAUAUUUAACCUCAUGACUCACUUAUUCCUACAAACUUAUCACAGUCACAAAAUAGGUUCAAUGUGACAAAAGUGUCUUUGGCCAACUUGUUAUGAUUUCUAUUUUUUAUCCAUAUUAAAUAAUGUUACAACAUACUGUUCUGAUGAGUUCCUUAAUGAAUGCAUAUAUUAAAAUAUCUCACCCUGCAAAGUUAACUAAAGUUGUGUUUGUCAAGGUAAUCUAAACUGUAUGUAAGGAAGGAUGAUGCUUUGAAGGGUUUUCUUCUUUAUAUUCAAAGGGAUUCCUCUCCCCCACAGUGUGUAUGUAGUUGCACAUGUACAUGUAUGUGAGUGUAUGUGAACACAACUUUGAUAUUUUGAGAUAGGGUUUCUCACUGAGACCUAGGGCUCCCCUUAUUGUGAUAGAAUGGCUGGCCAUCAAACCCUCUUCCUACUUAGCCAGUCCUGGGAUUGUAAGUACUUUCAAUCACACCUGGCUUUUUUUUUUUUUAACUAGUCAUUAUUCGGGAAGCAUUUUACCAAGUAAACUAUCUUCUCAGGCCUUAUGUUUUUUAUUUGCAUAAUCUCUAUUGUUUUAACAUAAAUUUCAUGAGAUGCUUCCUGUUGAUAUGGGGCAAAGGAUGCUAUAGACUGACUAAAAAAAAGGAUAAGGUUAAUAAAUGUAGCGAGAAGAGUCAAACUUCUUUUGUUCAUAAGAAUUAAUAAAAUACCAAUAAACACAUGCUUUUGUUCUUCUGA